rnacentral:misc_RNA from 1 species
AACCUAGCACACCUGCGGUGUGUACCUGCGGAAGGAUCAUUACAAGUGACCCCGGUCUAACCACCGGGAUGUUCAUAACCCUUUGUUGUCCGACUCUGUUGCCUCCGGGGCGACCCUGCCUUCGGGCGGGGGCUCCGGGUGGGCACUUCAAACUCUUGCGUAACUUUGCAGUCUGAGUAAACUUAAUUAAUAAAUUAAAACUUUCAGCAACGGAUCU